rnacentral:tRNA from 1 species
GCCUGGGUGGCUCAGUCGGUUGAGCAUCCCGCUUCGGCUCGGGUCGUGAUCUCACAGUUUGUGGGUUCGAGCCCCACAUCGGGCU